GACGAACGCUGGCGGCGUGCCUAAUACAUGCAAGUCGAACGCAGUGGGGACGGGUGAGUAACACGUGGGUAACCUCCCAUCAGAGGGGAUAACACUUGGAAACAGGUGCUAAACCGAUACUGAUGGAUGGACCCGCGGUGCAGUCGCUAGAUGGUGAGGUAACGGCCCACCAAGGCCACGAUGCAUACCCGGCCUGAGAGGGGUAUCGUCCACACUGGGACUGCGACACGGCCCAUACUCCUACGUGAGGCAGCAGUGGGGAAUCUUCUGCAAUGGACGAAAGUCUGACCAAGGAACGCCGCGUGAGUGAAGAAGGUUUUCGGAUCGUAAAACUCUGUUAUUGGAGAAGCGGUAUCUAACGAGAAAGCCACGGCUAACUACGUGCCAGCAGCCGCGGUAAUAC
rnacentral:rRNA from 1 species